AACGAACGCUGGCGGCGUGCUUAAUACAUGCAAGUCGAACGUGAGUCCGUAGCAAUACGGAUGAAAGUGGCGAACGGGUGAGUAACACGUAAACAAUCUACCUCUAAGUUUGGGAUAACCUUGCCAACGCGGGGCUAAUACCGGAUGUGGUCAUUGAGACGCAUGUUUUGAUGAUUAAAGGAGUAAUUCGCUUAGAGAUGAGUUUGCGGCCCAUUAGAUAGUUGGUGGGGUAAUGGCCUACCAAGUCAGCGAUGGGUAGCCGGCCUGAGAGGGUGUACGGCCACAUUGGGACUGAGAUACGGCCCAGACUCCUACGGGAGGCAG
rnacentral:rRNA from 1 species